AUGAUAACCAAAUAAGAAAACCAUAUAGUUCUAGUAAUACGGUCUAGAAGUCUCUACAAGUUACCCGUAAAGUAGCUUACUAUGGCAAAGGUCAAGUUAUGU
rnacentral:ncRNA from 2 species